UGAAUUGAAGUGUAUGGUUCACAAUAAGAUUUUGACUCUUAUAAAAAAGGUUCAACUCCUUUCCUUUCAA
rnacentral:tRNA from 1 species